rfam:Thielavia terrestris NRRL 8126 chromosome 2, complete sequence.
GGUUGUGUAGUGUAGUGGUUAUCACUUUGGAUUUUGAUCGCUUGUCAACUCUUCCAAAAACCCCGGUUCGAAUCCGGGCACGACCU